rnacentral:lncRNA from 1 species
UAAGACUGCCACCUAGUUGAUGAGCAAAUGGACAGCCACAGACCAACUCUAAAGAGGAGAGAAUAUAAUGACAAUUAUGUCCCAACAAUGUCAUCCAUUUAAUUUGGGACUUUGCCGAGAACUAAAGGAAGACAAAAUAUACAUAUAACGAACUACAUAAUAUUGAAUAUUUCUUAUUGUACAAACCAAACUUGACCCACAGGUAGCGUAAAAGGAAAUUGAUGCUGGUAGCUCACAGCUGGGAUGACAACCCCUCACAAGUUGCCCCCCGGGGGAGGGGGGAGGGGGAGAGGGGGCCUCAAUAAAAAAAUGAGGGCAGGCCUCACAUGCUGUACAUUACAUUUACAUGUAACUCAGUCCAGAGUAAAAAUAGGCAAAAAUCCAACAUAAAAACAAAAUUAUAUUAUUUAACGAACAAAAAUUGGGUAAUAAAUUUCAAGUUCAAGAAUUGAAGAAUAGGGUACAAAACCAGAAAAGAAAACACAAAUAUCACUUUACAUCAAACAAUCCUAAAAAUUGAAUAAUUUUUUCUUAUUUAAUGAAAACAACCCAUUAAAGAUAUUAGACAAACAGUUCGAAUUUCUGUCAUUUCUUGAAGUGCUUAACCUUGUACCAUCCUUUCUUGCAAGAAUCCCCAACAAUCUUGAAACCCUUUUUGAAUAUAAUCUGGAGCUCCUUUGCUCUGUCCUUUACCUGAUUCUCGAAGCCUCCCAUUUUUCCGAAACAAACACAGUAUAGAGAGAGAGAGAGAGAAGUUUUAUUAUAGUAGAGAUUUGAGCUUAAAAGUGAUAAAUAAAAAUGGUGGGAUUGAGGUUUAUAAGGUUGUAGGAAAGUGGUGGGAUCCAACACACAGUGGGGACGUGGC